AAAAAAGAAAAAGAAAAUGGAAAUUAAGUGUAAAUAUAAAUAUAUAUAUUUAUAUAUUAAAUAGUUUUAUUAAAUUAAUUAAAGAAAAGAAAGAAAAGAAAGGACAAAAAGAAGAAAAGGAGAAGAAAAUUUCAUUUUCUCUUUUCUUCUUCUUCUUCUCUUCCCUUCACCGCCAAGUUUGAAGACAUCCAAGUUCCCUUUUUUUUUUUCUUUUUCCUUCUUCAAUUUGCUGAGAACUUCUAAGAGAGAGUUUGGAAGAAGAAGAGAAAUUUUACUAGAAUUUUUAGGUUGAAGAAGAGGAGGAGAACUCAAGCAAAGUGUAUCAAUGGCUGAAUUUUAGUUCAUUCUGCACAUCACUGGUUUUUAAUUCGGUUUGAACUCUUCAAAAGGAAUUAAGAGGGCAGUUGGUUUUCACUCGAAAUCAGAAGGUCUCUGGUUUGUCUUGUAUUUCAGAGUGUAUCGAUGGAGUUAGAAUCUCUAUUUGGAACAAGUUAAAGAGGUCGUGUGCGCGCGAUUCUGGAAGUGGUUCUGUUUUGAGGGUUAUAUGUGUUUAUGCACGGGGAAUCAGAUUUAUAUAUCUUCAGGCCGAGAAGAAUUAAACCGAGCUUAUAGACCAAGGAUCUAGCCCAAGACUGUAGAGAUCGACUUCCCGGUGCCUGAUAGACUGCCUUAGUCUGCGGAAGCUUCAUUAUUGAUUGCCAGUACGUGUUUUGAGUUGGGCAUAAAGUCUGUUGUGUUGUGAUGUGUUCACACCCUUGUAUGUUAUAGAUACUCCACAGUUUGUAUAAGCUUUAGGAGUUGUAGUUGUGUAAAUUUUGUUGGUUAUAUUUUGAUUAAGGUGUCUUUAGGUUUACUCGUGAAAUCGGUAAAUUUUGAGGUACAUUUCAUGUAUGUGUUUGACUAGCUGUGUUUGACUAGCCUAGGAUCCGCUGUGUUUUGUGGCAUGUACAAUAGUUUAUAUACUAGAUUGGCAAGUUCAUCACAUGAAAGUUUUAAGCAGAGUCGACAGAUACAGGUACAGAAAAGCGUUGUUCGUCGGCUUCACGCCAUCUUUCGGUCUAAGGUAGCAGGUAGUCCGGGAGGGGGUGUGACAAAUCGUUUCUUUCUUUGAUGGGUUCGUAGGAGGAAACCCUAACGCCACUGCCCUCCAUCAUAUGAAAAUGAGAAAAUCUUCUUCUUAUUCAUCGGAGGUCAAAAUCGAGAGCGUGACAGCAAAGUGAAGCGUCCGUGUUCAGUUGCUCGGAGAUGAAAAUGAGCAUUCCUGGAAAAUAGAGAAAAAUGAAGAAAAAGGGGAGAGGAGAAAAAUGAAGAAGAAGAGGAGAUGAGAGAAAAUGAUAUAAUUUUAGGAACAAACGAAGGGGAUGAGGAAACCGCCUGAUUCUUCUAAAUUCUUUGGCGCUGAAUUAAAAUUUUGUUUUUUAAUUCUUCCGCCCUUUUAUAUUUUAUAGCCUAUUGUCUAAAAGGUCAUAUUGAGGUGCGAUAAAACGGCAUAUUUGUUGCAGGAGAAAGCAAAAACAUAAAAGAAACUGAAGGAUGAAAUGUGAAUAUUGUUUUUCGUAA